AAAGGGAGACCUAAUUCCGGUAGGAGACGAAAAAAAAGUAGUCCCAACCAAGAAUCAAUCCCAAAAGGUCGGAGCGGGGCGAAAUUGGCUUUCAAACUAGGUUCUGGGUUCACACAAGACCUGAAUCAGGAACAAGGGCUAUUAGCUCAGGUGGUUAGAGCGCACCCCUGAUAAGGGUGAGGUCCCUGGUUCGAGUCCAGGAUGGCCCACCUGCACAGGUGGCAAAAACAAAGAAAAAAAGCUCCGAAUCAGCACCUUAUCUUACUUAUACAGUAAGAGAGAAUGCUGGCUCUGAGUUCAGAGUCCAGAGGAACCUUGAAAACUGCAUAGAGCUAGGUGAAAAAGCCAAAAAAGAAGACCGCAAG
rnacentral:tRNA from 1 species